CAAUAGCGUAUAUUAAAGUUGUUGCGGUUAAAAAGCUCGUAGUUGGAUUUCUGUUGAGGAUGGGCGGUCUCUACUCUCGUAGAUGCAUUUGUCACAGCCUCGGCAUCCUCUUGAAGAACGGUUCUGUGAUUCAUUUCGUGGUCCGGAAUUCAAGACUUUUACUUUGAGGAAAUUAGAGUGUUCACGGCAAGCAAUCGCUUUGAAUACAUUAGCAUGGAAUAAUAAUAUAGGACCUUGGUACUAUUUGUUGGUUUCUAGAAUUGAGAUAAUGAUUAAUAGGGACAAUUGGGGGCGAUCGUAUCAACACGUUAGAGGUGAAAUUACUUGGAUCGUGUUGCGACGAACUACUGCGAAAGCAUUUG
rnacentral:rRNA from 1 species